ACAGAUCCUCUCUGAAGGAGGAGGCCUGUCUGAUGGAGCCGUUCAUCCAUCGAUGGUCAUUUUCCAUCAGAACCAGUAGAUCCAGAGAUGUGGGUGUAGACAACAACGGAAGAGACGUCAGCGGUGGACCUGUGAGGGGGAGCAGAGACCCCAGACCCUCCCACAAAAAGACAAAAUGACCCCACUGAGACUGUAACUAUAGUAAACUGCAUGAACUUCA